rnacentral:rRNA from 1 species
CUACGGAGGAUCCGAGCGUUAUCCGGAUUUAUUGGGUUUAAAGGGUGCGCAGGCGGCCAUUUAAGUCAGCGGUUAAAUCGUGGGGCUCAACCCCAUUCUGCCGUUGAUACUGGGUGGCUUGAUUGCGGUCGAGGUUGGCGGAAUUCGUUGUGUAGCGGUGAAAUGCAUAGAUAUGACGAAGAACACCGAUUGCGUAGGCAGCUGACCAGACCGCAAAUGACGCUCAUGCACGAAAGUGCGGGGAUCGAACAGGAUUAGAUACCCUGGUAGUCCGCACAGUAAACGAUGAAUACUCGCUGUUUGCGAUAUACAGUAAGCGGCCAAGCGAAAGCGUUAAGUAUUCCACCUGGGGAGUACGCCGGCAACGGUGAAACUUAAAGGAAUUGACGGGG